CGGAGUAAGUGCUGUGGGAAACAGUGCAAUUUCCUCUUUUUACUUUCACAGCCAUAGUGCCAGAUCCAGAAUGGAUGUCUUCUUUAUAGCCCUCCUUGUUGUGCCUCUUAUCCUGGGACAGGAAUACGAGGAAGAAGAAGAGCUUGAAGAGAGUGAAUACUAUGAAGUGGUAUAUUAUUAUCACACAAUUACCCCUAAUUAUGAUGACUUUAGUGCGAACUUCACUGUUGAUUACUCCAUGUUUGAGUCAGAGGAUAGGUUGAACAGAUUGGAGACGGAGGUAACAACGGAAGCAGUAGAGACUACUAUCAGUCUUCAUACAGAACUUGUGGACCAUCACAAUCCUGUAACCAUGACAACACCAGUGGCAACAGAACCAAGUCCAGAUCAGAAUGAUGCCAUGUCCAGUCUGCAGAGUUCUGUGUCCUGUCUUCUCUUAUGGACCCUCCUUCAAGGAGGGAUGCAUUUUAUGUAGAAGGUAAGAGGGCAGCCACUGGCUUUGGUGGGAGUGCUAUGAAGUAAUUCUUACCAACAUGCUCAGGCCUCCUAUGCUUAAGGAAAGAAGUGGGAUCACAUUUAGAAACUUCUAAUUUUCUAAUCUUGAAGAAAUUUGGAAUAAAUUUUCUGAUGUCUUUUUUUUUUUUUUUUUUUAAAUAUUCUGAUCUCCUAGGACUUUCAAGACCUCCUAGGAGAGAGGUGAGAGAAGUCUACUAUGACUCUUCAAACUAGAGUUUGGCAAAAAGUUGGAUGAAAAAUAAAAAAAUAGUUUUGUCUACUUCUUAA